CUAAUUACGAAGGUUCGGUUUCAUAAGGAGCUCAAGGAUUUUAGUCCAAUAAGUUUGUGUAACGUGAUCUACAAGAUUGGGUCUAAGUGCUUGGUGAACCGGCUACGUCCUUUGUUGGCGGAACUAAUUUCAGAAAACCAAAGUGCUUUUAUACCCGGCUGGCUUAUCUCGGAUAACUCGAUCAUAGCUUUUGAGUGUAUCAAUCAUAUUCAGACUCUCAAGAAUAAUAAUCCAGUUGCGUGUGCAUACAGGUUGGACUUGUCUGAGGCUUAUGACCGGGUGGAUUGGGACUUCCUAGAGAAGGCCUUAGGCAGAUGGGGUUUCUCUGCAACGUGGAUCAAGUGGAUGAUGGCUUGUGUAAAAUCGGUCACAUAUUCUAUGAAAUUCAAUGGAAAGUUGCUUGAGGUUUUCUCCCCGUCAAGAGGGCUUCGACAAGGUGAUCCGCUGUCCUCAUUUCUAUUUCUUUUUGUCGCUGACGCCUUGUCUGCUCUGAUUACCAGCUCUGUUGAGAGUGGUGAAUUAAGGGGAGUGACCAUUUGUCGAGGUGCUCCGGUGAUAUCUCACUUACUAUUUGCGGAUGAUACAUUAUUGUUCUUUGAGGCUUCGAGCCAGCAAGCUAGCAUUGUCAACGGUUUGUUGUCACUUACAUUUCAGCGACGGGUCAACUUAUAA
rnacentral:rRNA from 1 species